rnacentral:lncRNA from 1 species
AAGGAAGUUGAGAUGGCAUUGCAAACCAUGAGAACAAAAACGUUCAAGUCAUACCGCGCCGUUUCUGAAAGUGAAAGAGCUUCAUCAGUUGAUACAUUCAUGAACUAAUAAAGAUAGUAUCGAUCAUUUAUCAGUUGAUAUAACCUAUUUACCAAGCCAUAGAUGGUACAGCUUGGACAAAGAGUUCAUAUCAUCCACUGAGGUAACUCGAUAGAAGCGCACGUGGAUAUCUGAAUGUGGAUUAAAUAAUUAUUUGCCGUCCUUGUUAGUAGAACCUGAUUUGCCAUCCUGGUCCACUUUCAGCUAUUAAUCCAUAAUAUCUAACUGAAGUGCAUCGCCCUUUGUACUUUGAUGUAUCUGCUUUGUUUUGUGUCUUUUUGGAUAUGUUGUAUAUUAUUUUUUUUCCUUAGAAGCCCUCAGUGUACUGUAUUCUUAACUUGUUUGAACACUAAUUUGCUGUGAGAUGUAACAUGCCAUCAAGAGAGGUAAA